AUACAUACAAGAGGGUCUUAUGGCUUCUUUCAUGUAACACAUUGCAAACUCCAGGAACAGCCAUCAUAGCUACUUCACUAUGGAACCUAUCAAUUUCAAUUACAGAUUCUUGGGGUUCAUUUGUAGUGAUAUCAUAGAUUUUUUAUUUCCACUGAU